rnacentral:lncRNA from 1 species
GGGCAACGAACAGCAGCGUACGCCGCCGGGGACAUCAAUGGUGGAGUACGCGUCCAUUCAGGGAAAGGUCUGAGAGAGACCACUACUGGGGCUUACAUGGAGAGCUGAAACUGAAUAUGAGGGCCGACCACCACCACUACUAGGUCUAUUUCUAAAACGGCAACCACCUUCCAGCCUCCAACAACGGACCCGACCACCACCACUACGUCUACGACUACAGCCCCUGAUACUGGAAUCUUUUCAGCCACUAAAGAACAAAUAACAGCGCCGAUUUCCAGAUUAAACGGCGCACGCAAAAGAUCCACCGAUGUACAAACAUCACUUUUUGCUCCGGAGAAAAUGCUGCAGACCAUGGUGUCCAUGGUUUCCCAGCGCACAGCAAACGAUGCCUGGGCAGCAGAUAAUAUUGGCACAUCUGUUACCUCAAUAGAGAAUAGUCAAGAUAACGAGUCUGUGAAGAAGACAUCCAUGUCUAAUUUUGGCUGCCUGAAGGAGCAGGAUGAUCGCACGGUGGUUUUGACGCAGAGAACGACCGAACAAACCAGAUUGCAACAAUGGGCAGACCCCUCAGAUUGCACGGUGUACCCCAUCAGAUAAUCGUGAAAUCACCAAAUCAUAAUCUCAUAAAAUCCCUAUUCAUGAACAAUUUGCCCAAUGUGCAUUUUUCGCCUUUUGUGUAGUAUAUAUUAUAUUCCAGAGGGCUUUUAUUAUAGGAUG